CAGAGUUUACAACUCCCAAACCCACUGUGGACCUUACAGCGUCGUUGCCUCGGCGGACCGCCCCCGGCGCGGCCCCUCUCAGGGGGCGCCCGGGACCACGGCGCCCGCCGGAGGACCCAAACUCUCGUAUUUGCAGGAUGCAUUGCUCUGAGUGAAGACAAGCAAAUGAAUCA
rnacentral:misc_RNA from 1 species